rnacentral:rRNA from 1 species
UUCUUUUAGAUGACGAAGUGGUUGAUGCCAUGCUUCAAGAAAAGCUUCUAAGCUUCAGGUAACCAGGAACCGUACCCCAAACCGACACAGGUGGUCGGGUAGAGAAUACCAAGGCGCUUGAGAGAACUCGGGUGAAGGAACUAGGCAAAAUGGCACCGUAACUUCGGGAGAAGGUGCGCCGGCUAGGGUGAAGGAUUUACUCCGUAAGCUCUGGCUGGUCGAAGAUACCAGGCCGCUGCGACUGUUUAUUAAAACACAGCACUCUGCAAACACGAAAGUGGACGUAUAGGGUGUGACGCCUGCCCGGUGCCGGAAGGUUAAUUGAUGGGGUUAGCGCAAGCGAAGCUCUUGAUCGAAGCCCCGGUAAACGGCGGCCGUAACUAUAACGGUCCUAAGGUAGUGAAAUUCCUUGUCGGGUAAGUUCCGACCUGCACGAAUGGCGUAACGAUGGCGGCGCUGUCUCCACCGAGACUCAGUGAAAUUGAAAUCGCUGUGAAGAUGCAGUGUAUCCGCGGCUAGACGGAAGACCCGUGAACCUUUACUGUAGCUUUGCACUGGACUUUGAGCCUGCUUGUGGGAUAGGUGGGGCUUUGAAGCGUGGACGCCAGUUCGCGUGGAGCCAUCCUUGAAAUACCACCCUGGCAUGCUUGAGGUUCUAACUCUGGUCCGUAAUCCGGAUCGAGGACAGUGUAUGGUGGGCAGUUUGACUGGGGCGGUCUCCUCCUAAAGAGUAACGGAGGAGUACGAAGGUGCGCUCAGACCGGUCGGAAAUCGGUCGCAGAGUAUAAAGGUAAAAGCGCGCUUGACUGCGAGACAGACACGUCGAGCAGGUACNNAANUAGUCUUAGUGAUCCGGUGGUUCUGUAUGGAAGGGCCAUCGCUCAACGGAUAAAAGGUACUCCGGGGAUAACAGGCUGAUACCGCCCAAGAGUUCAUAUCGACGGCGGUGUUUGGCACCUCGAUGUCGGCUCAUCACAUCCUGGGGCUGAAGCCGGUCCCAAGGGUAUGGCUGUUCGCCAUUUAAAGUGGUACGCGAGCUGGGUUUAGAACGUCGUGAGACAGUUCGGUCCCUAUCUGCCGUGGACGUUUGAGAUUUGAGAGGGCUGCUCCUGGUACGAGAGGACCGGAGUGGACGAACCUCUGGUGUUCCGGUUGUCACGCCAGUGGCAUUGCCGGGUAGCUAUGUUCGGAAAAGAUAACCGCUGAAAGCAUCUAAGCGGGAAACUUGCCUCAAGAUGAGAUCUCACUGGGAACUUGAUUCCUGAAGGGCCGUCGAAGACUACGACGUUGAUAGGCUGGGUGUGUAAGCGUUGUGAGGCGUUGAGCUAACCAGUACUAAUUGCCCGUGAGG